rnacentral:rRNA from 1 species
GGACGAACGCUGGCGGCGUGCUUAACACAUGCAAGUCGAACGGGGAUAGGCGUUGGAAGGUCCUUCGGGGCGGAAGAUGCUAUUCGAGUGGCGGACGGGUGAGUAACGCGUGAACAAUCUGUCCCAGACAGGGGGAUAACACUUGGAAACAGGUGCUAAUACCGCAUAAGACCACGGUGUCGCAUGGCACAGGGGUAAAAGGAGCGAUCCGGUUUGGGGUGAGUUCGCGUCCGAUUAGCCAGUUGGCGGGGUAACGGCCCCACCAAAGCGACGAUCGGUAGCCGAUCUGAGAGGAUGACCGGCCACAUUGGAACUGAGAGACGGUCCAAACUCCUACGGGAGGCAGCAGUGGGGAAUAUUGGGCAAUGGGCGAAAAAGCCUGACCCAGCAACGCCGCGUGAGUGAAGAAGGCCUUCGGGUUGUAAAGCUCUGUUAUAGGGGACGAAGGGAGUGACGGUACCCUAUAAGGAAGCCCCGGCUAACUACGUGCCAGCCGCUGC